GGUUAAUCGUCGCCCCAAUAAUCUAAUUUUGUCUACCAUCAAUGGAGGUUCUGAAAGGUCGUGUGAGUCGAAACUUCGUGACUGUUCAUGUCGUUUCGCUAACGAUUCUUCACCUCCUAACCGUUACAAGUUUGAUUGAUUCAUCACCAUUAACGACUUCUUAACUCUUUCGACCCACUACAGCCACGAUCCCUCAUUCAAUGAUUCUUAUUCCUCUUGCAGUCGGUGAUUCUCCACUCUAUAAAAAGGUAAGCUUCAUCCGUAGCAUCAUCCUCACAAUUCCUAACAGCAAUAUAUUUUUUUUCAUAAUGUUCAUUAGUGGUUCUGAGCAAAUUUUGCUUUGCUUAAGAUCAACUGAAUAUAUUUUGAUUUAUGGGGGAGGGAGCUUUCUCUCUCUGUUCACUCUCUACACAUCUUUGAGAGAGAGAGAGAAAAUCAAUGUUUUGUGUUCUUCUCUUCCGUUUCGUCCUCUGAAUCGGAUUGUUUAUACCUUUUGUUAGUUUGAUGUUUUGGUUCCGGCCACAAAUUGAUCUUUACCAUGAUCUUGACCGGAUAUAAACUUUUAUCUAAAUCAGAUUCAGUUUUUAUUUUCAUUUUCAGAUUUCAGGAAAAAAUCCGAUAUGUAAUAUUUCAAUCCUUUGUUGUUUGAUCGUCUGCUCAGAUUGUUUUGCGUGCAGGAAUAUAAUAUUUUCCAUCCUUUUUAGUGGGCCUAUUUAAUUAGGUAUGGGUGGAGCUUCCUCUGUAGAUUGAUAAUUUGAGAUGGAAAACUUGAGUUCAGAGCUUCAUAAGCAUAUCUCAUGGUGGGCAACAACAAUGAAGAUUUGGCUUUAGCUGACUGAGAUCCUAAGGUUUUCCUGCUCAAAAAUGUUCACAAUGGCUGGUAAACUAGGUCAUGUAUUCCUCAAUGCCAUAUCGGUGACAUACUUCCCACAUUAAAGACACCAACUGCGGGCUCCGUAGAGCAAAGAGUGGUUCCUCUGCCACAUCUUUCAAGUAUGGUGAUGUUAAGAAAAUUGAAUCCGUCACAUUAUAUGAAAUUAAUAGCUACGUUCUCAACUCAUCCCUAGGUACGUUCACUGCAUAAGGAUCACUGUAAUAGCAUGACCAGAUACAUGUGUUGUUUGCGUUGUCUCUCCUUUUCAUGCUGCGCACAAUUACCUUAUCAAAACGUCUUUUAUUUGAAAAUAACUAAAUAAGAGAUUUGUUGUUACUUAGCUUUCUGCUUUAGUUCAUUUACUAAGCUUCACAUUUGAAUAACUGUGGAGUUUCUGAUGAUGUGGCUGCUGUAAAAUUUUCUGUGGUCCCAAAUACAGUGGUGAAACGCAGUGUUCGGUUCACACAAACGGGCAUCUGAUGCUGUUCCAGUUAUUGAAAGACGUCCAGCCAGCACAGACCCAUGGCCUACGCAUACUGAUUCAGUCAUAACCUCCACCGAGACUCCUAUUGAUGAUGAAAAAGGCCCCAAGUUCAAAGAAAACUAGCAAACACUGAGCACUCCAACUAUGGGUUAUUUGGGUUUUGAUUAUUUAAAAUUAUUAUUGAAUUUUAGAAUUAAGUGAUUAUCUUCCAGUACACUAAGUGAACUCUUUUUUCAAGAAAUAUUAUUAUAACUCGCAAAAUAUAGUGGAGCUCCAUUGUUUGUUU